GGUCCGUGUUUCAAGACGGGCGGCAUUUAACCAUUACGCCAGCAUCCUUGACAAAAGUCGCAAUCCUCAGUCCCAGCUGGCUGUAUUCCCACGGGCUAUAACACUCUACCGAAGCAGAGCCACAUUCCCGAGGAUUUAUCCAACCGCUAAAACUGAUGCUGGCCCAGCGAAAGCCGAAGCAAACGCCAUGUCUGAUCAAAUGCCCUUCCCUUUCAACAAUUUCACGUACUUUUUCACUCUCUUUUCAAAGUUCUUUUCAUCUUUCCAUCACUGUACUUGUUCGCUAUCGGUCUCUCGCCAAUAUUUAGCUUUAGAUGGAAUUUACCACCCACUUAGAGCUGCAUUCCCAAACAACUCGACUCGUCGAAAGCACUUUACAAAUAACUGGGAUCCUCGCCACACGGGAUUCUCACCCUCUAUGACGUCCUGUUCCAAGGAACAUAGACAAGGACCAGCUACAAAGUUGCCUUCUUCAAAUUACAACUCGGACGUCGAAGACGCCAGAUUUCAAAUUUGAGCUUUUGCCGCUUCACUCGCCGUUACUAAGGCAAUCCCGGUUGGUUUCUUUUCCUCCGCUUAUUGAUAUGC
rnacentral:rRNA from 1 species